rnacentral:rRNA from 1 species
GGGACACGUGGUAUCCUGUCUGAAUAUGGGGGGACCAUCCUCCAAGGCUAAAUACUCCUGACUGACCGAUAGUGAACCAGUACCGUGAGGGAAAGGCGAAAAGAACCCCGGCGAGGGGAGUGAAAAAGAACCUGAAACCGUGUACGUACAAGCAGUGGGAGCCUCUUUAUGGGGUGACUGCGUACCUUUUGUAUAAUGGGUCAGCGACUUAUAUUCUGUAGCAAGGUUAACCGAAUAGGGGAGCCGAAGGGAAACCGAGUCUUAACUGGGCGUUAAGUUGCAGGGUAUAGACCCGAAACCCGGUGAUCUAGCCAUGGGCAGGUUGAAGGUUGGGUAACACUAACUGGAGGACCGAACCGACUAAUGUUGAAAAAUUAGCGGAUGACUUGUGGCUGGGGGUGAAAGGCCAAUCAAACCGGGAGAUAGCUGGUUCUCCCCGAAAGCUAUUUAGGUAGCGCCUCGUGAAUUCAUCUCCGGGGGUAGAGCACUGUUUCGGCAAGGGGGUCAUCCCGACUUACCAACCCGAUGCAAACUGCGAAUACCGGAGAAUGUUAUCACGGGAGACACACGGCGGGUGCUAACGUCCGUCGUGAAGAGGGAAACAACCCAGACCGCCAGCUAAGGUCCCAAAGUCAUGGUUAAGUGGGAAACGAUGUGGGAAGGCCCAGACAGCCAGGAUGUUGGCUUAGAAGCAGCCAUCAUUUAAAGAAAGCGUAAUAGCUCACUGGUCGAGUCGGCCUGCGCGGAAGAUGUAACGGGGCUAAACCAUGCACCGAAGCUGCGGCAGCGACACUAAGUGUUGUUGGGUAGGGGAGCGUUCUGUAAGCCUGUGAAGGUGUACUGUGAGGUAUGCUGGAGGUAUCAGAAGUGCGAAUGCUGACAUAAGUAACGAUAAAGCGGGUGAAAAGCCCGCUCGCCGGAAGACCAAGGGUUCCUGUCCAACGUUAAUCGGGGCAGGGUGAGUCGACCCCUAAGGCGAGGCCGAAAGGCGUAGUCGAUGGGAAACAGGUUAAUAUUCCUGUACUUGGUGUUACUGCGAAGGGGGGACGGAGAAGGCUAUGUUGGCCGGGCGACGGUUGUCCCGGUUUAAGCGUGUAGGCUGGUUUUCCAGGCAAAUCCGGAAAAUCAAGGCUGAGGCGUGAUGACGAGGCACUACGGUGCUGAAGCAACAAAUGCCCUGCUUCCAGGAAAAGCCUCUAAGCAUCAGGUAACAUCAAAUCGUACCCCAAACCGACACAGGUGGUCAGGUAGAGAAUACCAAGGCGCUUGAGAGAACUCGGGUGAAGGAACUAGGCAAAAUGGUGCCGUAACUUCGGGAGAAGGCACGCUGAUAUGUAGGUGAAGCGACUUGCUCGUGGAGCUGAAAUCAGUCGAAGAUACCAGCUGGCUGCAACUGUUUAUUAAAAACACAGCACUGUGCAAACACGAAAGUGGACGUAUACGGUGUGACGCCUGCCCGGUGCCGGAAGGUUAAUUGAUGGGGUUAGCGCAAGCGAAGCUCUUGAUCGAAGCCCCGGUAAACGGCGGCCGUAACUAUAACGGUCCUAAGGUAGCGAAAUUCCUUGUCGGGUAAGUUCCGACCUGCACGAAUGGCGUAAUGAUGGCCAGGCUGUCUCCACCCGAGACUCAGUGAAAUUGAACUCGCUGUGAAGAUGCAGUGUACCCGCGGCAAGACGGAAAGACCCCGUGAACCUUUACUAUAGCUUGACACUGAACAUUGAGCCUUGAUGUGUAGGAUAGGUGGGAGGCUUUGAAGUGUGGACGCCAGUCUGCAUGGAGCCGACCUUGAAAUACCACCCUUUAAUGUUUGAUGUUCUAACGUUGGCCCCUGAUCGGGGUUGCGGACAGUGUCUGGUGGGUAGUUUGACUGGGGCGGUCUCCUCCUAAAGAGUAACGGAGGAGCACGAAGGUUGGCUAAUCCUGGUCGGACAUCAGGAGGUUAGUGCAAUGGCAUAAGCCAGCUUGACUGCGAGCGUGACGGCGCGAGCAGGUGCGAAAGCAGGUCAUAGUGAUCCGGUGGUUCUGAAUGGAAGGGCCAUCGCUCAACGGAUAAAAGGUACUCCGGGGAUAACAGGCUGAUACCGCCCAAGAGUUCAUAUCGACGGCGGUGUUUGGCACCUCGAUGUCGGCUCAUCACAUCCUGGGGCUGAAGUAGGUCCCAAGGGUAUGGCUGUUCGCCAUUUAAAGUGGUACGCGAGCUGGGUUUAGAACGUCGUGAGACAGUUCGGUCCCUAUCUGCCGUGGGCGCUGGAGAACUGAGGGGGGCUGCUCCUAGUACGAGAGGACCGGAGUGGACGCAUCACUGGUGUUCGGGUUGUCAUGCCAAUGGCACUGCCCGGUAGCUAAAUGCGGAAGAGAUAAGUGCUGAAAGCAUCUAAGCACGAAACUUGC